UUUUUCUUAUUCAAUCACAUAUAAGUGGAACUAACGUAAAUAUGUUCUAAGAUGUAUCGUAUUGAAAAAAAAUAUUUUCCUUACACAAUAUAAUUUAAAUCAGUAUAAUAAUUAUAUCUAAUUGUAAUUUUAAAAAUGAGUUAUAAAGAAGUAUUAAAGUUUAGUAUAAAUAAUAAUAUUUAUGUUGACUUGUACAUGAUAUAAUUUUUAUUAGACCAGACAUGAUCAUAAUAUUCAUUAAGUGUUCAUAUUUCAACUCAAAUUGCCGAGAAAAUUAAUAUGACUCUUUCUACACGAAUAAAUCAGUACAGAGGAACAGAACAAUGAGAAAUCAUGUCAAAUAAUACUAUGAACGGAAACUCUAUCAUACAUGUUAUCGCCUAUGAGGCUAGCAAGUUGACUGAACCGGAUCACGUUCCAUACUUGUAUGUAAGGUCGGGAGAUAAGUCUGGUGAAUGUUUUUUUAAUUCACUAACAUAUUAAGAUAUAAAAUUUCAAAACUGAAUUGCGACUUCCGAUCUCCAUGUGUGAUUAUCUGAUUUUUUUGAAUUAAUAUUGUGUCUUGCUUUUUUCCUAUUAGUUCGAUGAGGUGGAUAAAUAAAAGUAUACCAAAGAUCGACAACGUACAUAUGUACUAACGUUUAGUAGCCUGGUGAUGAAGAUAGAUGGUGUCAUUGCCCCUCUAGCUCAUAAACCAAUUUCUCUUUAUUUUUAACCAUUUUUAUUUCAGGUUUCAAAUAAACUAAGUUGCCUAAUAAUAAAAUAUAACAUUGCACAUGGAAUAACCUAAACUAGUUGGGCGGAGGUGGGGUAUGAUGUCGUGCCCGUGUAUUAGUUGGU
rnacentral:lncRNA from 1 species